rnacentral:rRNA from 1 species
AUUGAACGCUGGCGGCAUGCCUUACACAUGCAAGUCGAACGGCAGCACGGGUGCUUGCACCUGGUGGCGAGUGGCGAACGGGUGAGUAAUACAUCGGAACAUGUCCUGUAGUGGGGGAUAGCCCGGCGAAAGCCGGAUUAAUACCGCAUACGAUCUACGGAUGAAAGCGGGGGACCUUCGGGCCUCGCGCUAUAGGGUUGGCCGAUGGCUGAUUAGCUAGUUGGUGGGGUAAAGGCCUACCAAGGCGACGAUCAGUAGCUGGUCUGAGAGGACGACCAGCCACACGGGGACUGGGACACGGCCCAGACUCCUACGGGAGGCAGCAGUGGGGAAUUUUGGACAAUGGGCGAAAGCCUGAUCCAGCAAUGCCGCGUGUGUGAAGAAGGCCUUCGGGUUGUAAAGCACUUUUGUCCGGAAAGAAAUCCUUGGCCCUAAUACGGUCGGGGGAUGACGGUACCGGAAGAAUAAGCACCGGCUAACUACGUG